UCCUUGAGAGAUGCGUUAUCAUUAUCAAAUAGGGAGAAAAUAUGGAUCAAUAUGCUUGAGGGAUUGAAGAUGAAAAUCCCACAGAAGAUCCAUCUGAUGAUUUGAUGAAGACAACGACAGUUAAAGUCAGUGGCAAUAGGGAAAUAACCUUCAACCUUAAUGAUGGUCCAAAAUAUGUCAUGUCUCAUCAAACAAAAGGAGAAUCAAGAUGAAAGUUCAUAUAUGAUAAGAAGCAAUCUAGCAAGGCAUCUUGAAGCCUCAGAUAAAGUGUAAAAGCUCGCCAGGGCCUGUUUGUGUGUCUGUCUGAGUGAUCUUAGUAUUGUAAAAGUAGGAGAAUAACUUAGAAGUAUUAAGGAAACUUAUACAUAGACUCCUAAAACAUAUUUUCAAAUAUUUUUUAUAAUGAAAAUUGUUUUUUAAACCAAGUGAUUAAAAAAUUUGUCCAAAGCUUUUCCAAAUUAUUUUUGAACUAAUCAAUUCAUUUGUAAGUUGUGUCAAUAGAAUGGCAAAACUUUUUUCUGCUAGCCAAUCCAUUGGAUCAUUAAGUCAAUUGAUUAUGAAAU
rnacentral:lncRNA from 1 species